UGCAGCCCCAAUCGGGCGGUAAAUUCCGUCCAAGGCUAAAUACGGGCGAGAGACCGAUAGCGAACAAGUACCGUGAGGGAAAGAUGAAAAGCACUUUGGAGAGAGAGUUAAACAGUACGUGAAAUUGUUGAAAUGGAAACGCUUGAAGUCAGUCGCGUUCUCUGGGAUUCAGCCUUGCUUUUGCUUGGUGCAUUUCCUAGUCUACGGGCCAGCAUGAGUUUU
rnacentral:rRNA from 14 species